CUUUCAAUAGAGAGCUGAUUUUGGAGAACGGCUUAGUCCUGUGAUUGAAAAACUCUUUCUGGAAGGUUGAUGGAGCAUGAGCAUGGUCUGGUCAGCAACUCCAGUGCAAUUUGAAAAUAUGUAAUCUGCUGGCAAUGAUGUACCCAACCUUAAUCAGAGCUGGAGCCUUUGGAAGAGAGAUUGUCAUCGCACGAUGUAUAGUCCCACAGUGACUGGCCUUGGUGAAACUGUGACAGAAGAAAACAGGUGGUUUCAUGUGGCAGGCUGGAGGAAAGAUUCUUUUUCUUCCCAGCUUUUGACAAAAAGAUGACGCAUAUGACUCAGAAUUAGAAGGGGAAAUCUGCCAGUUUGCAUCAGUUCCUCAACUUGUGGGUUGCUAUUCACCACAAGGAAAAUUGGUAUACUCGCACCAGCGCUUCUUGAGAGAUGAAGAGUAAUCAUUUCCUUCAGAAAGUGUAGGAUGAUUGGAGUAGGCCUUUCAUAUGUGACACUAGGCUUUUCCUAUAAGGUAUUUUUCAACUGUAUUAAUUUUCUAGGAAGAAAGGAAAACAAAUGAUGUUCUUAAAUGC